rnacentral:rRNA from 1 species
AGGACGAACGCUGGCGGCGUGCUUAACACAUGCAAGUCGAGCGGUAAGGCCUUUCGGGGUACACGAGCGGCGAACGGGUGAGUAACACGUGGGUGAUCUGCCCUGCACUCUGGGAUAAGCCUGGGAAACUGGGUCUAAUACCGGAUAUGACCUGCUCUCGCAGUGGGGGUGGGUGGAAAGAUUUAUCGGUGCAGGAUGGGCCCGCGGCCUAUCAGCUUGUUGGUGGGGUAAUGGCCUACCAAGGCGACGACGGGUAGCCGACCUGAGAGGGUGACCGGCCACACUGGGGACUGAGACACGGCCCAGACUCCUACGGGAGGCAGCAGUGGGGAAUAUUGCACAAUGGGCGAAAGCCUGAUGCAGCGACGCCGCGUGAGGGAUG